rnacentral:lncRNA from 13 species
AGGAAGAGUGGUCAGAUGAAUUGCAAUUAAUUGCAAAGUCCCUCUUUGCCAUGCAAAUGAACUGAAUCCCCAAAAAACAUUUCCACUGCAUUUCAGCCCUGCCACAAAAGCACCAGCUGACAUCAUGUCAGUGAUUCCCUCGUUAACUUCUUAUGGCUGCAGGGGCAGGAUUGAGUAGCUUGGAUGAAAGGUGCCCAUAUCGAACGGCCUGCUACUCAGUCAUAGUUGCUAAUAUUUGCAUAGUAUUAUUAGUAUUGGAUAGAAAAUACUCUGAAGUUUCUAAAACUGUUUGAAUUAUGUCUGUGAGUAUAACAGAAAUUCCACUUCCUGUUUUUUUUCUGGAGGUGGCAGAUUUUCAACCAUGGUCUCAUUGAAAAACAGCGAGAUAUGGAUGAGUUUUCACUUCCUACGCCUUCCACUAGAUUGCAGCAGUCAAUAGUACUUUGUCUGAUGACUCUAAUGUGAAGGGGGGUCGAUUGACACAGGAAAUAGUCACCACAGCCAUGAGUGGACCAUGCUUUCACCAGACACGUUCACAGGGGAAGGACUUGCGUUCCACUGCUCAUCUAAAGUAAUUCUAAAGUAAUUAUCCGGUUGGAACGUUAUUCAAGAUAUAUGUAAACAACAUUCUAAAGAUUGAUUCAGUACAUCGUUUGACAUGUUUCUACUGACUGUUACGGAACUUUAUGACAUUUCGUCACGUUAUAGUGGACGUGCUUUGUGACAUUGGAAAUUGUUUACGAAACACGCUAACCAAAGUAGCUAAUUGGACAUAAAUAACAGACAUUUUCGAACAAAUCAAGCAUUUAUUGUGGACCUGGGAUUUCUAGGACUGCAUUCUGAUGAAGUUCAUCAAAGGUAAGGAAAAAUGUAUCAUGUCUUUUCUGGUUUCUGUUGACUCCAACAUGGCGGCUAAUUUGGCUACUGUUCUGAGCGCCGUCUCAGAUUAUUGCAUAAUUAUACUUCAGUAUUCCAUACUAACAUCUGACAAAAAAUGUCUAACGACACUGAAGCAGCAAACUUUGUGGAAAUUAAUAUUUGUGUCAUCCUUAAAACUUUUGGCCACGACUGUAUAUGAUUCGGAGUCCCAAAACACUCUCAUGUCUCUCUCUCACGUCUCUCUCUCGCUCUCGUCUCUCUCUCACGUCUAUCACGUCUCUCUCGCUCUCUCACGUUUUUCUCUCUCUCACGUCUAUCACGUCUCUCUCGCUCUCUCACGUUUUUCUCUCUCUCACAUCUCUCUCUCUCACGUCUCCCUCAAGUCUCUUGUCUCUCAUCUCUCAUGUCUCUCUCUCUCUCAGGGAUCUGCAGGCUCGGCCCUCAGGGUCCACGCUGUGCCCUUGGGGCCGAGACAGGAGCUGCUGGGCUCCCUGCUGGCAUUCGUGGAGGAGAGAAACCUCAAAGCGGCGUUCAUCAUCACCUGCAUGGGCAGGUGGCAGAGUGUUGACUGGCAGCCAUCCGUCAUGCCUCUGGAUCCAUGUGCUUGGUGAUGAAGAGAUGGACGAUGGUAUGAAAGAGAUGGACGAUCACACAGGCUUCCCUGAGCUGCUCACCAAACCCCACUCCAAAAAAAGACUAGAAGAAGAAGAUUAGAAGAUGACUUUACGGUCAAGGAUGUCCAACUAGUAGUUUGAUACAGACAUAUUGUUACAUUUAAGAGAAUAGAUGAGAUUUAAUUAUUUCAGUUUGACUGCAAUGGCAGUGAAUAAGUAGAUCACCUCCAUUAGACUGGAAACUCUCCUUCCAGACUCACAUUAAGCAUCGCCAUUCCAAAAUUAAAUCUAGAAUCGGCUUCCUAUAUUGCAACAAAGCAUCCUUCCCUCAUGCUGCCAAACAUACCCUCGUAAAACUGACCAUCCUACCGAUCCUCGACUUCGGUGAUGUCAUCUAUAAAAUAGCCUCCAACACUCUACUCAACUGGAUGCAGUCUAUCACAGUGCCAUCCGUUUUGUCACCAAAGCCCCAUACACUACCCACCAUUGCGACCUGUAUGCCCUUGUUGGUUGGCCCUCGCUUCAUACUCGUCGCCAAACCCACUGGCUCCAGGUUAUCUACAAGUCUCUGCUAGGUAAAGCCCCGCCUUAUCUCAGCUCACUGGUCACCAUAGCAGCACCCACUCGUAGCACGCACUCCAGCAGGUAUAUCUCACUGUUUACCCCCAAAGCCAAUUCCUCCUUUGGCCGUCUUUCUUUCCAGUUCUCUGCUGCCCAUGACUGGAACGAAUUGCAAAAAUCUCUGAAGCUGGAGACUCAUAUCUCCCUCACUAGCUUUAAGCACCAGCUGUCAGAGCAUCUCACAGAUCACUGCACCUGUACAUAGCCCAUCCAACUAUCCAUUCUCCAUACUGUAUUUAUUUAUUUAUCUUGCUCCUUUGCACCCCAGUAUCUCUACUUGCACAUUCAUCUUCUGCACAUCUACCAUUCCAGUGUUUAAUUGCUAUAUUGUAAUUACUUCACCACCAUGGCCUAUUUAUUGCCUUACCUCCCUUAUCCUUCCUCAUUUACACAUACUGUAUAUAGACUUUUUCUUCUGUAUUAUUGACUGUAUGUUUGUUUAUUCCAUGUGUAACUCUGUGUUGUUGUAUGUGUCGAACUGCUUUGCUUUAUCUUGGCCAGGUCGCAGUUGUAAAUAAUAACUUGUUCUCAACUAGCCUACCUGGUUAAAUAAAGGUGUUCUCAACUAGCCUACCUGGUUAAAUAAAGGUGUUCUCAACUAGCCUACCUGGUUAAAUAAAGGUGAAAUAAAACAAAAUAACAUGUAGACAUUGGGUUUGGCCUUUUGUCAAUGGGAGGUGGUGAAAAGGAUAAGACAACACAGCCAUUUCACAGUAAUUAAAUAGAUAUUAUUUUCUUCCACCUCCCCUCCGCUAAUGUGAACCGACGCCCCCCAAAUACUGCCUCCAUAGAGGGCCUUUGUACGGUAACACUUUCUAUGGAGCAGAUGACUAAUGAUGUAACACUGAACAGCUGUGGGAGAAACCGUUUCCAACAGAAACCCUCCCACCCCUGAGCGCUCAGUCACUCUGACCAAUAGGUGGGGCCUGCUAAUGAAUGUUUAACUAAAGCCCGCCUUUUGAAUGGCUCUGACCCACUGGUUGCUGAGACACAAUGUGAGAACUCCCCCAGGAUUAGCAAUGACCUCCACACAGCCACAGCCGUCCAGCUGAAGAAAGGAAGCUAGCACAGGGCUGUCUGAGGGCUGUAUAUAUGGCUGUAUGUGGGAGGGGAUGGGGAGUGGUGACAACCUUUUGAUGGAGCAGAGUUCAUAUAGAUCUAUGUGCUUUAAUUGGGCACCAUGUAGGGUCUGAUAGAGGACAAACCAUAUAGGGGCUGCUGUCUUCUAUAGUGUGUGUGUGUGUGUGUGUGUGUGUGUGUGUGUGUGUGUGUGUGUGUGUGUGUGUGUGUGUGUGUGAGAGAGAGAGAUGUGGUUUCCAGUCUGUUUUAUGCAGAAUAAGCGCUUUCUCUUUGUCCUUCUUUGCGUUUGUGUGUGUGGCAUUGAAGUUGUACCUGUAUUUGUUGUAAGUGCUUACUGAUUGAGUGCUACAUUAAGUUGUUCAGAGAUCAGAGAGUUUAUGAUGACUCAAAUAGGAGCUAGCCACUGCAUUCCUAACUGAGCACUUCACCGCAUUAUAACAAAUAGCCGCUUCUAGAGUUUCCUGAAGGUUUUCACAUCAAAUGCAACUAGGGCUGUGGCAAUAACAACAUUUUGUCAGCCGGUGCUUGUCACCAAAUAACCGUCGUCUUACGGUCUCAUCUCCUGGUUUCCACACAAGCCACUGAUGUUGUCACACAGCUAGGAGUGGUGGGUGCGGAGUCAGGCGCAGAGGGUUCAUAGAAAACCAACUUUAUUUCGGUAAAUGGGUAAGUGGUCAACACAACAGGCGAACAAAAUAUGACCGACCCAAAACGGGACACCAAAAAGGUCAGAGAACAUACCACACAUCCAUCCACAGACAAACAGAAAACAAGCCCGCACAAAAGCAGGCGGGCCUAACCGGCUUAAAUAGCCCUAAAACAAAUCUCAAACAAGGAACAGGUGAAUUCAAUACAGACAUAACAAACAGAAAUGGAAAAAGGGAUCGGUGGCAGCUAGUAGACCGGUGACGACGACCACCGAGUGCCGCCCGAACAGGCAUGGGAGCCGGAAGUCGUGACAGAUGCAGACCUUUGGAACAUCUUAAACAUUUGAAAAAGUCUAAUAAAAUCCAUGUAAUAGAGCCGACACCUUCACAAUAUAUCCAGUAUUUAGUUUAGACCGGUCUAAAGAAGGAUGAUAUGAAGAAAACGUAGUCUAUUUCAGAAGAACAGAAUAGCAUACUCUUGAGUUUUCCUCAUUUUAGGUCCUGAUCUGGCUAUGCCAAAUGGCUGUAGGCUACACUAGUUCAUUUAGCAAACAAGAUUUGCUUAGAAUUCCGUGGAAGUGUUUUAUAUUAUCUUAUAGUAUAAAGAAUACAAUUGAACAUAGCUGAAUAAAAUAUAAAUAUUUUCUCCAAACGAUUUGAGGGAGUGCGCACAUUCGGCUAUUCUGUGUUGAGGUGUUUAACAAUGAAAUAGGAACUCCUAUAUGCUUAAUUUAGAGUUAUUCAUGUAACUUCAGUUGUUCUACAAACGUUGGGCUAUAUGUUUUUAUUUUUAAUACAUUGAAAGGCUGCAUGAUGCGACUCGUCGCUUGAAAAAGUCACUUGAAAGGCAUAAGCUCUGCUUUGUGUUUUUUGGCGCAGGCUGUACACACGUCAUCAGUCUUUCAUUCACAAUUUGACCAUCCCUUGAUAAUGUCUCAAAUUUCACGGCAGCAUCCCCUUUGUGGCCGUAAUGCACCCUAAAAAAAUCCAUGCUUUUUGUGGGCAGUGACGAUGUGCCCUUCUCCUUGAGUGCUGCGCACUCCGAAGCACCUCUCACUCACAUGGGUCUCCAUCACAUGAUAUGGCCUUUCUCACAGGCUACAAUAUUUCUUCACAUUAUAAGCGCAGCAAUGUGCACAUAGUAGGCUUUAAGUGCAAAUGUUCCAUUAGCGGGAAAACUCCAUAAUCAAAAGUGUCCUCAAAUGCAAUUAUGCAUGAGAAACAAGUGAGCUUCUUACGAGUGAGCAGGUAGGGAAGUUCCUCUCAGGACCCCCAAUGCUAAAAGCCCAUCAGACUCCAGUAGGGUUCUUCAUAACCAGACCUCCACAUCAGAAGAUAUCCUCCUUGCAAUCUCCAAAAUACAACAGCCACAGGACAACUUUGUUUGGACAUCCUAAGUCUCUCUUUAUGUAGUGUUGUGGUGUCUCUCUUGUUGUAAUGUGUGUUUUGUCCAAUAUUUAUAUUUGCAAUCCCAGCCAACGUCCCCGCAGGAGACCUUUUGCCUUUUGGUAGUCCGUCAUUGUAAAUAAGAAUUUGUUCUUAACUGAUUUGCCUAGUAAAAUAAAGGUUAAUAAAAAAAUUCUAAAUAAAUGUGUGAAAUUUGUUAUGAUUUAGAAUGGACCAUUAUCAUGCACGUCUCGAAACAGUGGCAGCAGGAGAAAAUAUAUGUCAUCUAUGCACUUAAAUAGCGAAUGGAGGACGCUUUUCGUAGUUCGUUUUCAUGCCAGCCAGGUAGGCUAUACUCCUGUUGUAAAGAUAAGCAAUGUGUUUAAUA